CACCUCCUCCUCCACGCCGUCCCCCCGACCGCCGCCGCCGCCACCGCGCUCGUCCUCCGCGUCGCUCUCGUCCGAGUUGUCCUCCUCCAGGUACGAGGCCGUGGCCACCACCAGCGUCACCAGCAGCACCGCCAGCUUCACCUAGGCGCACAAGGAGGGAUCCAGGGGACCUUCCGGCCGCUGGCCUCACGCCCUCCCGACUCAUCCCAGCUCCCGGAUAGGCCCACUCCCUUCUGGAACUCGCACCCGCAGCUCCUCUGAGGGCCUUCCCCACUCCUGGGAGCCGCCUGCCACCCAGGCUUCCUGAGCACCCUCCUGCUGACAAGGCUCAAACCCCAGCUCUGUCCCUUAGGUCACCCUACCUCUCCGGGCCUCAGUUUCCCUAACUGUAAUGAUCAUGCCUUUGUCUCACAGGGUAGAUGGAAGAUGUGACAGGUGGACACAGGGCUGGCGCUCCCUGACCGGGGCUUAGACUGCUCUGUCCCUUACACGUAGGGGUCAUAAGUAGUGCUUCUUAGAGAUUUUGACUAGAACACACAGAAAUAAUGUUGCAUCAUAACUCAGUACACACGCACUCCUUUGCUAGUUCCUAUUCUAUUUUUCAUUUUUUAAAAAAUUGGUUGGGCCUGCUAAACUGGCCCACCAGUGGGUGAGAGCAGACCUCAGGACCCCUAAGGGCCAAGGAGGGAGACAGACCCUCGACAUCCAGCUCAGAGCCCAGUAUCUAGCGAACAGAUGUCCCAACUACCCAUGAGGCGGCUAGGAUGUGCCCACAAGGAAGGAGCAAACAGUGAACCCUUUUAGAGACAGGUAAACUGAGGCUGGCAGGAGGUGAAGCUGUCACAAGUCAGUGCUGGGUGUGGGGCCACCCAGGGGGCUUGGCCCAGGGCCUGGCCCUUGGGGAGUGGGGUCCUUCCAGGGGCUGUGAGGCCCGGGCGGGCAGGCACCCAGAAAGCAUGUGUUGUCUCGGGGCUGGUGUGUGACAGGGGCGCCUUGCCCCUGGCCCCCACCCAGCCUUACCUUCAUGGGCAGGCUUGAGCCCAAGUAGACGGUGAAGAUGGCCACUGCCUGCCACCAGUGGUAGAUGGUGAAGAUGAAGUCUUGCCUCUCUUUGUCCUCAUACAGGAUUCCCAGGAGUGCUGCAGGCGGGCAGGACAGGGCAGAGGCAGGAGAGGUGUCAGCUGAGGCCCAGGGCUGCUGCUCUCUCCAACCAAGGACCCUCGCAUGCCCUGUGCUGGUCCCAGGCCUUGGCUGGAGCGCCCCAAAGCCACUGUACACCAGUCCUGGCCUGCCCCCUAAUGGACAUCCUGGUUCUCACGCUGCCUGGGAGCUUCGCAGAGGGCUCAAGGAGGCUAAAACGCUGUAGCAACAAGCUUUCUGCAAGCCCAAGAAGAAGUUGAAGUUGAAGGGGAGGAAUUUGUUUCCGAAAGCAUCCACCCAGCCGUACACACCCCCCGCCCCGUGGGCAGGAAGGGCAUCAGGCAGGGAGUCAGGAGAUUCCACUCUCAGGACUGAAAGCUACUCAGGACGUUAACACUCUCAUGCUGAGAUCCUGCCGUGUGACUGUGCACCCUGGGUUGCUGUGAAGGGACAUAGAGCCACCACCCCAACCCCAGGGGCCACAUGAGGAGGCAGGAAGCAGAGCGGCGGAAGAGGAGUCUGGGGCCUGGCCCAAGUCCAGACAUCAUGGGCUCAAGUCCAGAGGCAAAGCAGCCAGGUCAGUGUGGCCCAGGGUGUGGGCACCAUCCCCUAUAGCAGAUGCACAUGCCUGACUCUGGGGUGGUGGGUGCUGGGGUUGCCCGAGUGCACAUCUUCCCCGUCCGCAGCAGGCAUGACCUCCCCUGUGCACAUGGGGGGUGUUCAAAACUGUUAGCACCGGCCGAUGCGGAAGCCCAGAUGGCUGUGCCCAUGUGUACCAGCUGCGUGUCACUGGCAUAUGCUCACUUGUGGGCAGAGAGCAUCACGCAGACGAACUCUGUCCCACCCUCUCGUUUCUGCAAGCAGGGCCCCCGCCCCAGCCUUGGGGCCUGGACUCUGCUGCUCUGCAGAUUGCUGUUGGGGUCUUAUGGCCUGUUCCCAGCUCCUCUCCAUAAAAGGGCCAUAUCUGCACCUACCCCUGGAAUGUGGCCAGAGCCACUUGCUGCUUCUCAUGCUUCCUGGGACACAGACCCUGACAUCUGCUCCCAGUGUCGUGGAAACUGCCAUGGUUCCCUGGUAUGAGAAUGAGGACUCCCCAGUGUGUUUUUCACAUUGUCCCUAAGAGGUGUCCACAGAGCCCCAUACCCAGCCCAUGGAGCUGCAAGAUCUCACACUGACUCCCAAGCCCACCCUAGGGAGUCCUCAGGGUGUCCAUGGCAUGUCCCUCCUACACCUGCCUUGAGAGUGUCCAAGCCCUUCUCAUCUGUCCCUGCCACCCCCUAGAGUGUCCACUGGCAUCCCCACCUACCCACAGCAAGGCCACAGGGCUCCUGCCAGACCUCAGUGUGGCCAUCGACCCAUGUCUGCCCCUGUCUGUGUUCCCCUCAACCACCCCGAGGUAGCCCCGGAUCCCCUGGCGAGCCAUCCCAGGGCCCACGGCUGUACUCACUG